UGGGGAAUAUUGCACAAUGGGCGCAAGCCUGAUGCAGCCAUGCCGCGUGUAUGAAGAAGGCCUUCGGGUUGUAAAGUACUUUCAGUCGGGAGGAAGGUGGUAAGGUUAAUAACCUUAUCAAUUGACGUUACCGACAGAAGAAGCACCGGCUAACUCCGUGCCAGCAGCCGCGGUAAUACGGAGGGUGCAAGCGUUAAUCGGAAUUACUGGGCGUAAAGCGCACGCAGGCGGUUGAUUGAGUCAGAUGUGAAAUCCCCGGGCUUAACCCGGGAAUUGCAUCUGAUACUGGUCAGCUAGAGUCUUGUAGAGGGGGGUAGAAUUCCAUGUGUAGCGGUGAAAUGCGUAGAGAUGUGGAGGAAUACCGGUGGCGAAGGCGGCCCCCUGGACAAAGACUGACGAUCAGGUGCGAAAGCGUAGGGAGCAAACAGG
rnacentral:rRNA from 1 species